UACGAAGGAUUCGAGCGUUAUCCGGAUUUAUUGGGUUUAAAGGGUGCGUAGGCGGACCGAUAAGUCAGUGGUGAAAUCCUGUUGCUUAACCACAGAACUGCCAUUGAUACUGCCGGUCUUGAGUACAGUUGAGGUAGGCGGAAUGUGUCAUGUAGUGGUGAAAUACUUAGAUAUGACACAGAACACCGAUUGCGAAGGCAGCUUGCUAAACUGUAACUGACGCUGAGGCACGAAAGCAUGGGGAGCAAACAGG
rnacentral:rRNA from 1 species